rnacentral:rRNA from 1 species
GAUGAACGCUGGCGGCGUGCCUAAUACAUGCAAGUCGAGCGAACAGACGAGGAGCUUGCUCCUCUGACGUUAGCGGCGGACGGGUGAGUAACACGUGGAUAACCUACCUAUAAGACUGGGAUAACUUCGGCAAACCGGAGCUAAUACCGGAUAAUAUAUUGAACCGCAUGGUUCAAUAGUGAAAGACGGUUUUGCUGUCACUUAUAGAUGGAUCCGCGCCGCAUUAGCUAGUUGGUAAGGUAACGGCUUACCAAGGCAACGAUGCGUAGCCGACCUGAGAGGGUGAUCGGCCACACUGGAACUGAGACACGGUCCAGACUCCUACGGGAGGCAGCAGUAGGGAAUCUUCCGCAAUGGGCGAAAGCCUGACGGAGCAACGCCGCGUGAGUGAUGAAGGUCUUCGGAUCGUAAAACUCUGUUAUUAGGGAAGAACAAAUGUGUAAGUAACUAUGCACGUCUUGACGGUACCUAAUCAGAAAGCCACGGCUAACUACGUG